UAGGGAAUCUUCCGCAAUGGGCGAAAGCCUGACGGAGCAACGCCGCGUGAGUGAAGAAGGAUUUCGGUUCGUAAAGCUCUGUUGUUAGGGAAGAAUGAUUGUGUAGUAACUAUACACAGUAGAGACGGUACCUAACCAGAAAGCCACGGCUAACUACGUGCCAGCAGCCGCGGUAAUACGUAGGUGGCAAGCGUUGUCCGGAAUUAUUGGGCGUAAAGCGCGCGCAGGUGGUUUAAUAAGUCUGAUGUGAAAGCCCACGGCUCAACCGUGGAGGGUCAUUGGAAACUGUUAAACUUGAGUGCAGGAGAGAAAAGUGGAAUUCCUAGUGUAGCGGUGAAAUGCGUAGAGAUUAGGAGGAACACCAGUGGCGAAGGCGGCUUUUUGGCCUGUAACUGACACUGAGGCGCGAAAGCGUGGGGAGCAAACAGGAUUAGAUACCCUGGUAGUCCACGCCGUAAACGAUGAGUGCUAAGUGUUGGUCUCAUAAGAGAUCAGUGCCGCAGCUAACGCAUUAAGCACUCCGCCUGGGGAGUACGACCGCAAGGUUG
rnacentral:rRNA from 1 species